AGAACUUGUGGGGAGAAUGAGGUGGAGAGGCCCAGGUUCUGAAUCCCCUUCCCUCACUCUUCUCUCAG
ensembl:miRNA